rnacentral:rRNA from 1 species
AGCGAACGCUGGCGGCAGGCCUAAACAUGCAAGUCGAACGGAUCCUUCGGGAUUAGUGGCGGACGGGUGAGUAACACGUGGGAACGCGCCUUUUGGUUCGGAACAACUCAGGGAAACUUGAGCUAAUACCGAAUGUGCCCUUCGGGGAAGGAUUAUCGCCAUUAGAGCGGCCCGCGUCUGAUUAGCUAGUUGGUGAGGUAACGGCCCACCAAGGCGACGAUCAGUAGCUGGUCUGAGAGGAUGAUCAGCCACACUGGGACUGAGACACGGCCCAGACUCCUACGGGAGGCAGCAGUGGGGAAUAUUGGACAAUGGGCGCAAGCCUGAUCCAGCCAUGCCGCGUGAGUGAUGAAGGCCCUAGGGUUGUAAAGCUCUUUUACCCGGGAAGAUAAUGACUGUACCGGGAGAAUAAGCCCCGGCUAACUUCGUGCCAGCCGCCGCGGUAAU